AUGUCGCGGCAUGUCCUGUCGGUGGUGAACGGAGUCCACGACGCUACAUGGGCUUUAUAGUCGAUGUUAGCAUCGUGUGUACUUCCGUUGGCCGAUCUCUCCUACUUCGGUGCUCUUAAACGAGUGUCGAGGUAGGCCGACACGUUCACUUUGAACAAAUUAGAGUGCUUAAAGCAGGCUGAAAUAUCUGCCUGAAUAGUGGUGCAUGGAAUGAUAAAACAGGACCUCGGUUCUAUUUUGUUGGUUUUAGGAAUAUGAGGUAAUGAUCAAUGUGGACUGGCGGGGGCAUUCGUAUUGCGACGUUAGAGGUGAAAUUCUUGGAUCGUCGCAAGACGCACUAGAGCGAAAGCAUUUGCCAAGUAUGUCUUAAUUGAUCAAGAACG
rnacentral:rRNA from 1 species